CACGUUCACCAAUGCAACGCAGAAUGGGCUCAUCCUUAUCAACAAAGGAUUUAUUUUUCGGACCAAAAUCAUACCAAGAAAAUGGAUCACAUAACCUUAAUCCAUUUCACUGCUCUUGAAAUUUCCAGAUUGCUGAUUCAACAUAUCUCUCCGUCUUUAAAGUUUGUUUACAUUUCGUUGGAAAAAAACACAAGAGGAUCACAGAAAUGUAGCGGCCGAAGAAAGAGUUCAAAUAAAUCCAAGCCCCGGCGGUCAGCUACUUGGAGAGCGAGAUCUCCAUCUUUGGCUCGCAAUCACAUGUACCUAUGGGGGAAGGAUGGCCAGCCACACAGGAGGGUGAUUUUCACUGAGGAGGAGGCCGCGCUGACCGAGAUGCAUGCUGGCCAUUUCGGUGUGAAGCACAUGAUUGCCAAAAUCAACCUACGCUUCUUCUGUUGUGGGAUUGUCAAGGAUGUGGACAGCUGGGAAAGUGAAAUAAACUUUUGUUUAUAAAUCACAUUCUAUUAUAUCUGAAAUUAUUAUAAUUUCAAUUCAUGUUAUAUCAGAGAGAACACAAUGUUUCAAUUUGUCACUGUGCUUAAAGGUCAAUACCUGUCUAGUCUGCCAGAAGUUUGAGAGGGUGAAGAUUGUGGCGCUGGAGUUGUUUCACCAUGGACCCUGAUCAGGGUGGACCUCAUCAGACCCUUCACAAAAUCCAGGAAUGGCAACAGCUGGUGUCUAAAACAGCAACUGAUUACUUUACCAAGUGGGUGGAGGCAAUACCCAUUAAGGACCACACUGACGAGGCCACCUCCAGGGCAUUGAUGGACAUCCUCAACACCCACAGUUCUCCUGAGGUCAUCUUAGGGUAGCCUAGUGGUUAAAAGCAUUAGACUAGUAACUGGAGCUGACAAGGUACAAACCCCUGAGCUGACAAGGUACAAAUCUGUCAUUCUGCCCCUGAACAGGCAGUUAACCCACUGUUCCUAAGCUGUCAUUGA
ensembl:lncRNA